AGCAGAAGACGGGAGUGACAGUUGCAGUCAUUGGCAGCACGUGAAUAAGGUCCACCGUCUACCCCUCACACUGUUUCUCCCUCUACCGCUCGCUCGCGUUCCCGUUCUCUCUCUCUCGCUCCCUCUACAUCCCCAUCUCUCUCUCUGUAUCGCUCUCUUUCCUCGUCCUCUCAUUCUCAGUGUAAUCAGUUUCCCUCUGCGGAGAAAGACCAAGAGAAAGCAAGCAGGACACUUUUUUUUACAGCCUGUUUGUGCCUCUGAUCUGACCACAAUGAAAUCCUGGCAGCUGACUGGAGUGGUGGGAGAUGUCCUUCAGAGUUCCAGCAGUGACAGUAGCAUCUGUUUAAAUAAGGACAGUGUCUCGGUGAGUAACAGACGGAUGUUCUACCUUUCUCUCUUUCUUUUUCAUCUCCACUCCCUCGCUCCACUCCUCCUCCACAGCUGUCUGCAAGGCAGCCGACCAAAUCAGUCUGUAGAAAGGACCAUGCCGUUGUCUCAAACUGCACCAGGAGUUACCUG
rnacentral:lncRNA from 1 species